rnacentral:rRNA from 1 species
CGCGUAGGCGGUCUUCUAUGUCAGGUGUGAAAGCCCGGGGCUCAACCCCGGAAGUGCAUUUGAAACUGGGAGACUUGAGUAUGGGAGAGGGAAGUGGAAUUCCUGGUGUAGCGGUGAAAUGCGUAGAUAUCAGGAGGAACACCGGUGGCGAAGGCGACUUCCUGGACCAAUACUGACGCUGAGGCGCGAAGGCGUGGGGAGCAAACA